UUUCAUGAGAAAACGCUCAAAGAAAUUAUGACUUUCUUUACAAAUCAUUUUUCAAGUAGCAAUCAAGUAUGGACAUAGAUUACAGUGUUUUCAAAUAUGUUCUAAAACACUGUUUUCUUCUUAUGGGAAUUUUUAUGAAAAAGGCAAUGAAAAUGAGCAAUUGAAAUAACAAACAAGACCGGUUUGAUAGUCUUGAGUUGGCUAUUCCUGGGCAGCUUAUGAUGUUCUUGCUGGUUUAGCUUUACCAUAAACCCUGGACUCAGGUUCAUAACAUAACAGUGGCUUUUUAUGUCCCCCACUAUAGUAGUGGGGGACAUAUUGUUUUUGCCCUGUUUGUCUGUUGGUUGGUUGGUUGGUCUGUCUGUCUGUUUGCGCCAACUUUAACAUUUUGCAAUAACUUUUGCUAUAUUGAAGAUAGCAACUUCAUAUUUGGCAUGCAUGUGUAUCUCAUGAAGCUGCACAUUUUGAGUGGUGAAAGGUCAAGGUCAUCCUUCAAGGUCAGAGGUCAAAUAUAUGUGGCCCAAAUCGCUUAUUUUAUGAAUACUUUUGCAAUAUUGAAUAUAGCAACUUGAUAUUUGGCAUGCAUGUGUAUCUCAUGGAGCUGCACAUUUUGAGUGGUGAAAGGUCAAGGUCAAGGUCAUCCUUCAAGGUCAGAGGUCAAAUAUAUGUGGCCCAAAUCGCUUAUUUUAUGAAUACUUUUGCAAUAUUGAAGAUAGCAACUUGAUAUUUGGCAUGCAUGUGUAUCUCAUGGAGCUGCACAUUUUGAGUGGUGAAAGGUCAAGGUCAUCCUUCAAGGUCAGAGGUCAAAUAUAUGUGGCCCAAAUCGCUUAUUUUAUGAAUACUUUUGCAAUAUUGAAGAUAGCAACUUGAUAUUUGGCAUGCAUGUGUAUCUCAUGGAGCUGCACAUAUUGAG